UACGGAGGAUCCGAGCGUUAUCCGGAUUUAUUGGGUUUAAAGGGUGCGUAGGCGGCCUUUUAAGUCAGCGGUGAAAGUCUGUGGCUCAACCAUAGAAUUGCCGUUGAAACUGGGGGGCUUGAGUAUGUUUGAGGCAGGCGGAAUGCGUGGUGUAGCGGUGAAAUGCAUAGAUAUCACGCAGAACCCCGAUUGCGAAGGCAGCCUGCCAAGCCAUGACUGACGCUGAUGCA
rnacentral:rRNA from 1 species